rnacentral:rRNA from 1 species
AACGAACGCUGGCGGCAUGCCUAACACAUGCAAGUCGAACGAGACCUUCGGGUCUAGUGGCGCACGGGUGCGUAACGCGUGGGAACCUGCCCUUAGGUUCGGAAUAACUCCCCGAAAGGGGUGCUAAUACCGGAUAAUGUCUUCGGACCAAAGAUUUAUCGCCUUUGGAUGGGCCCGCGUUGGAUUAGCUAGUUGGUAGGGUAAAAGCCUACCAAGGCGACGAUCCAUAGCUGGUCUGAGAGGAUGAUCAGCCACACUGGGACUGAGACACGGCCCAGACUCCUACGGGAGGCAGCAGUGGGGAAUAUUGGACAAUGGGCGAAAGCCUGAUCCAGCAAUGCCGCGUGAGUGAUGAAGGCCCUAGGGUUGUAAAGCUCUUUUACCCGGGAUGAUAAUGACAGUACCGGGAGAAUAAGCUCCGGCUAACUCCGU